AUUGAACGCUGGCGGCAGGCCUAACACAUGCAAGUCGAACGAGUGGCGGACGGGUGAGUAAUGUCUGGGAAACUGCCUGUUGGAGGGGGAUCACUACUGGAAACGGUCGCUUAUACCGCAUUCCAUCGGUUGUGCCCAGAUGGGAUUAGCUAGUAGGGGGGGUAAAGGCUCACCAAGGCGACGAUCCCUAGCUGGUCUGAGAGGAUGACCGGCCACAUUGGAACUGGGAAACGGUCCAGACUCCGACGGGAGGAAGAAGGGGGGAAUAUUGCACAAGGGGCGAAAUCCGGAUGCAGAAAGGCCGGUUGGAUGAAGAAGGCCUUCGGGUUGUAAAGUACUUUCAGCGGGGAGGCGUUACCCGAAGAAGAAGCACCGGCUAACUCCGUGCCAGCAGCCGCGGUAAUAC
rnacentral:rRNA from 1 species